rnacentral:rRNA from 1 species
AGAGUUUGAUCCUGGCUCAGGAUGAACGCUGGCGGCGUGCCUAAUACAUGCAAGUCGAACGGGUAUAGCAAUAUACUAGUGGCGACCGGGUGAGUAACACGUAGCUGACCUGCCCCUCAGCGGGGGAUAACGUUCCGAAAGGAACGCUAAUACCGCAUGAUUUUGUGGUUUCUAGAAGACUGCAAAUAAACUUCAGGGGU